CAGCCGUAAACUAUGCGCGUUAGGUGUAUCGGUGACCACGAGUUACCGAGGUGCCGAAGGGAAACCGUGAAACGUGCCGCCUGGGAAGUACGGUCGCAAGGCUGAAACUUAAAGGAAUUGGCGGGGGGAGGCACCACAACAGGUGGAGCCUGCGGUUUAAUUGGACUCAACGCCGGGAAGCUCACCGGAUAGGACAGCAGAAUGAUUGCCGGGCUGAAGACCCUGCAUGACUAGCUGAGAGGUGGUGCAUGGCGUCAGUGACU
rnacentral:rRNA from 1 species